rnacentral:rRNA from 1 species
UACGGAGGGGGCAAGCGUUGUUCGGAAUUACUGGGCGUAAAGGGCGCGCAGGCGGCUGCUCAAGUCAGGCGUGAAAGGCCUGGGCUCAACCCGGGAAUUGCGCUUGAGACUGGGCUGGCUUGAGUGCGGGAGAGGAUGGUGGAAUUCCCAGUGUAGAGGUGAAAUGCGCAGAUAUCAGGAGGAACACCAAUUGCGAAGGCAGCUCGCUGGGACGUUACUGACGCUGAUGCGCGAAAGCGUGGGGAGCAAACAGG